CACACGGCGGCCGCGGCCAGGACUGAGUUCGACUUCGCGGCCACGCCAGGACUGAGCUCGACUUCGCGGCCACUGGGGCGUUCUCGUGACGUGUGCCGGGGACCCGUGGAUACCUGGGCUGAGGAGGGAAGAGCAUCCCCUUCCCCGCCCGCCUCCGCUGGAUAAAACCGUCUAAGCAGCCUUCGUGCCUCCUGCGGAACGCCUUUCCUGGCCGCAGGAGGAGGUAGAGCCCGAGGAACCUCCGGUUUGGAGGCAGCACGGGGAGAGUUCUCAGUGCAGGGCAGGAGGAACGAGGGACAGCCUGCUCCGUAGCCACGUUAACAGCUGCGGUUGGUGCUGAGGAGCUCCCGGCCGCCUCAGCCCAGGACUAGCUAUUCCUCCUGAGUUUCAGGAUCAGUGCAAGUCCCACACGUCUAUAGAAAUAGCACCGAUGGCAGGCAACAUUUAAGCUUAAAAAACAAUGUAAUCUCCACUUGGAAAUCUGUUAAGUCAGCAGGGACAUGAAUUGUAAAUAUUUUAGGUAGCAGAGAUACUUAAAGCAGCUCUACUGCACCCGUGAAGAUGGCAACACCGAGUGAAUGUGAGGAGGUGAUUGAGGUUGACAGAAUUUACCACUUGUUUCUUUACAAACUGAUUUUCUGAUCAAACAUACAGCUGCAGUACUAUUUCGUUUUGAGGAGCUGAUUUUUAAGGACAUAUUUUUACUGUGGUCAAAUUACUUCCCAGCUGAGCUUUGCACACACACGCAGCACCUUGCUGUCACUAUUUUUGAAUCCAUUUAUUAAGCAAGUUUUCUGACUAAUGUUGUUGCAUUUUUCACAUCUGUAUCUUCUACAGAAGACCAAACUAAUGAAAUCAACAGCACUGUAGAUUAAAAUGAUUCUUAGUUCCCCCUGGUGACUUUCUUAUCACGUUAGGAAUAAUAAUCAUCUUCAACCACAUCUGUUGCUUUUACUGUUGUAAACCAUACUUACUGCUGUCAUUGCAAGCAGCAUUUCUGUAGAAACAGGUCAGUUGUGGCACAGCAUUGUACCCCAACUGGUGCAAGUUACUGUUACCAUGGGCUGUUUCCUAACAGUUUCCAGACAUUUGUUUUGGAGUAUGUACACUUUCACUCCCAUGUCAAAGCCUACUGAGGACAAAUGCUACAAGCUUCUCACAAUCCUGUGAUCCAGCCAACUGUCCUAUACAGGAAUCAGCACAGGAAGAGCAUGAGGUCUGUAUGCACACCCACAAAAGGAAGAACAUAUGAGGUCAAAAUACCAUCUCUGAAGGACUCUCAGAAGUUCAAAUGCAAAGUGAUGACAAACAAUCAACGUCAUGAUUUUUGAGCAAUAUCAUGAUAAGUAGAAGAUGGAUAAAUUCGUCCAUUCCAGAUCAAUCAGGAGGAAGAAACAAGGGUAAAAACACAAGAUAUUCCCAAUAUUAUGUUAAGGAGAAGAUUUCCACACUGGAUGUCAGAGGAUAAUAUUUUGGACAUAUAUCAACUAAAAAAUCAAAUGAAGUCUCUGAAGCAUUUUGAGAAAAGUCUGCCAGUACUGCUGAUGUUAUGAUUGCAGGCACGCCUACUGAAAUCACUCAACCAAUUGAAGAAACAGAAUGAGAUUUGGAUUAUAGGGUUUCAGAUAAUACCAAGUCCCUUGUGAAAGAUAUGUAUCUGUCAAGCUUAUGAUUGCUGAAUGCAGUUCUGUCACAUUAAAAAAAAUAAGAUGAAAUGACUGUGAACAAGGCCUAUGACACUGAGCUAUAACAGGACAGAAUAAAGCAGAAGGUUCUGUAAAGCUGCAAUGAACAAAGGUUAUUAAGUUCCUGCUGUGUUCAAGUUUCCUACAGCUUUUUGACUUCUGAUGACUUCAGUUCAAGUCCCAGUUGGGCUCCUGAUCAGCAGGGUGGCUGAUUUCCCAAUAAAGAGAGAGAGGAAAUGUGUAAACUUGUUGAAGUGCUCCACAAGCUCCAGCUUGCAAACCUCGCAGAGGCUGCCAUCUAUCCAGUGCAGAGACUCUCACCUAAUACAACAUACUGUACUUGAGAAUUAUUUCUUCUGCAUCCACUACUACUCCCUUAUCUGAGUGUUCUUGGAUAGUUGAAGACCUGAUUCAUGCGGCACUGAAGUGAACUAGAGUACUCACACAAUCAGUUUUCUGACUUGCUUAGUUUUUACUUUAUGAAUUGACUAUCGUCUGCCUAAGUGAACUUUCAAUUGUUCAGUAGACUUCAGUAGCUUGUUUACUUCUACUACAGUCUACUACUUGUCUACUACUACUACAGUAAACUUAACAAAAAAUAUAAUCCCUUUAAAGAAACAUCCCCUGACCUCUUUUAAAAUAAGCACUUGAUUUAAAUGCUCAAAGAAAAUGUUCCACGUUCUACUUAAUCAAUAUAGAUUAAAUAGAUACUUAUUAUAGAUUAUAGAUACUUGUCUAAGGUUACUUAGGAAUUCUAUAAUCAAGGCUACCUAUCUCCAAAAUUAUAUAAAUACCUGUAAUCAAAAAUGAACAUCUCAAGAAACUUUAAACAGUUUUAAAGACCUAAGAAAUACUGAAAUACUUUGACCUUCAAAAACAAAGCAGGAGUAAAGCCCCAUUGUAUUUUCCUAACUACAUUUUUCCUUGAAACCUGUAGAGGGAAAUAAAUAGAAUUAUACUGGACUAUCUUAGAGGUCUCUAAAACAAAAUUAUUUCUCUUUAGAAAAAAAAAAAUACAUGCUUGAAUUUUCAAUAAACCAUGUAAAAAUAAUUUUUCUCUAAGCUGGGACAAUGUUUUUCUGUCCUUUAAAAAACAAGAUGCAUUCCACUGCUGAAAAGAUGUUGUGUCUGGUUGUUUGCAUUUUAAUCAAAUACUUCACAAAGAAUCACCAUCAUUACCCACCGUCUGCAAUAAAGAACUCUACAAAAUACUUUCUGCAACGCAAUGUAACUGACAAUUAAAUAUAACUCAAACACAAAACAAAACAUAAACUAUUCAAGCAAAACAGAACAUUUAUACCCACAGGCUAGUGUUUGCUCAGUUGGAAUGGGAGAUGAUAAGUGGAAGUUUUCCUGCCUUCAAUUUACAAGAUGAUAAAGGAGAAACUUAAGCUUCUUUAAUUAACCACAAAUUUUUGGUCAUUGCAUGUAGACGUAGUGCAGCACAAGUGCUUUCUCAGCUUCAUAAAGGAUAAAAGAUAAAAUGCAUAUAAUCACUUUCACCUUAACACUGCAGUUACUCUCCUAGGGUUUGUCCACUAAAUACAUCUGUUUUGCCCUUAGCAGAGCACUAGCCAUGAGUCACAGUGUUCAGAUAUAUCAAAAGAGAUUUAAACUUCUAUCUCAGGGAAGAAAAAUUAUAAGCAAUUCAGUUUAUGUCCUGUUUGAAAGGUCAAGGAAUGGAACAGAGUAGUAUUGCAUUUAUAUAGACACAUUAAACUUCGUAGAGCGAUGCAGGCAGUAUUUGAGUUCAGCUGGGUGAACCACAUGGUCUCACAGCAGGAGAAGUAUCACUCUUAACUGCUGCAGCUCACAUACCUGCUUAUUAUCUGAGCAGCCCAGUACCUGCAGACCUGAAAUUGCUGUUUUAUGAGGAAAUUCCUGCUGUCAAGAGGUGGUAUGUUUGAGU